UGGUCUGAGAGGAUGAUCAGUCACACUGGAACUGAGACACGGUCCAGACUCCUACGGGAGGCAGCAGUGGGGAAUAUUGGACAAUGGGCGAAAGCCUGAUCCAGCCAUGCCGCGUGUGUGAAGAAGGUCUUCGGAUUGUAAAGCACUUUAAGUUGGGAGGAAGGGCAGUAAGUUAAUACCUUGCUGUUUUGACGUUACCAACAGAAUAAGCACCGGCUAACUUCGUGCCAGCAGCCGCGGUAAUACGAAGGGUGCAAGCGUUAAUCGGAAUUACUGGGCGUAAAGCGCGCGUAGGUGGUUCAGCAAGUUGGAUGUGAAAUCCCCGGGCUCAACCUGGGAACUGCAUCCAAAACUACUGAGCUAGAGUACGGUAGAGGGUGGUGGAAUUUCCUGUGUAGCGGUGAAAUGCGUAGAUAUAGGAAGGAACACCAGUGGCGAAGGCGACCACCUGGACUGAUACUGACACUGUGGUGCGAAAGCGUGGGGAGCAAACAGGAUUAGAUACCCUGGUAGUCCACGCCGUAAACGAUGUCGACUAGCCGUUGGGAUCCUUGAGAUCUUAGUGGCGCAGCUAACGCGAUAAGUCGACCGCCUGGGGAGUACGGCCGCAAGGUAAAACUCAAAGGAAUUGACGGU
rnacentral:rRNA from 1 species